CAGGGACACCUUCCACUAGACCAGAUUGCUCCAACCCCCGUCCAACCUGGCCUUGAACCCUGCCAGGGAUGGGGCAGCCACAGCUUCUCUGGGCAAUCUGUGCCAGCGCCUCAGCACCCUCACAGGGAAGAACUUCUGCCUAAUAUCUAAUCUAAAUCUUCCCUCCUGGGAUGUUCCCGAAGGACUUGGUUGCAGGCGCCAAGCCAUGGUGCUGCUGCUUUUAUUCACACACCUCAAAGAGCUGCUUGCAACCAAACAAUGUGAAGUAGGAUCUGUUUCUUCUGGGUACCCCCAUCCCUCUGCUGCUGCAAAGAUCAGCAUGGAGGUAGUGAAGGGUGAUGGAGCAUGGUCUGGCAGCUGGCAGGAAGCAUGCAGUCCCUGUCUCAGCUUCUUCACCGAUGGCAGGUCCACCACUGGCUGCCUUCAUGAGGAAGCUGGCAGUGCAGCCACUCUGGCAGUUUGGCCAAGGGACAGAGCUGAGCAGCACAUGUGUUACUGCACAGAAAGCAAGUGAGAAAGAGAAAAGAGACCUACUGUCAGAAGGAAAUGGGAGGGAGGACCCAUAAUGGGAAAUGGAGAGCCCCUCAGGUAGAGUGCCAGGAGAAACCCUUCCGAGGAGGACGUGUGCUGCAACGUGCAAAAGGAAGAUCCCAGGGGUGAACAUUUCAUCUUCUGAGCCACUGGCCUUGUUUUAUGCACAAGAUGUUGUUUCUACCACAGAGGUUUCAUUCUUAAGAGAGAUUAAAAAAAAAAAAAAAAGGUGAAGAAAAAGAUUUCUGUGAUGCAUGGACUUUAAUCCAUACAAGCACACAAGAAAUAAAUGGCUUGUGAUUAAUUAGAGAUUAAUAGGAGGAUUGUGAGGAAAAGCACUACACUGAAUCCAUGUCCUGCAUCACUGGUAAGCAGCUGUUCCUUUCAUCUGGAGGUUCAGAAGUUUCUUCUUCAAAGGGCCAUUACUGUUGCUUCUGCAGCACA